ACACGUAGGGGGCGAGCGUUGUCCGGAUUUAUUGGGCGUAAAGAGCUCGUAGGCUGUUGAGUAAGUCAGCUGUUAAAGCUCCAGGCUCAACCUGGAGAGGCCAGUUGAUACUGCUCUGACUAGAGUCCGGUAGGGGAGUGCGGAAUUCCUGGUGUAGCGGUGGAAUGCGCAGAUAUCAGGAGGAACACCGAUGGCGAAGGCAGCACUCUGGGCCGGUACUGACGCUGAGGAGCGAAAGCGUGGGUAGCAAACAGGAUUAGAUACCCUGGUAGUCCACGCCGUAAACGUUGGGCACUAGGUGUGGGGCCUUAUCAACAGGUUCCGUGCCGUAGCUAACGCAUUAAGUGCCCCGCCUGGGGAGUACGGCCGCAAGGCUAAA
rnacentral:rRNA from 1 species